CAAAUAUCAAAUACUCAAACACUAUUAGUUGGUGAACUUAGAGGUUCACCCUAGGGGGUGAACCUAAGAAUUACUCACUUAUGUGUAAAACAUUCAUGAGAAAGAUAACAAAAAUGUCUUCUUGUUCGUAGGCCCAAGCCCCCUUUUCUCGCAGUUAUAGAUAUUUUACUGGACCUUGGCAUUUGAUUUUUUUCGAUUUGGUUUCGGGCUUUUGAGUUUUGGAGUUUUGAGUUUUGUGGGUGUUCGGUUUUGUGGUUCACGUUGGUAAAAUUUUAUAUUCGUUUAAAAGAUAUUAUAAGAAAGAUUGCAUGAGUAAUAAAUUCUUUUUUUUUUAUAACAUCAGAUUAAUAAAUUCUUAUUUAUCAAAAGGGAAAUGAUUAAAAUAUACUCCCUCGGUUCCACAAAUAUAUACUUUUUUAGUAUUUAAUAUAUUAAGAAAACACAUUAAACUUCCAUAAUAAAUGUAUUAUCUUCUGUAAUUUUGAAUUGGAUUAAACAUUUUUUUUUGCUCUGCUGAAUCGGAUUAAUCAUGAUAAAUACAUUGGUUGGUGGUUUGUGAAAUAUGGUAUGAUUGUUUGUUGAUUUUUACUCAUGUCUGAAUAGAAUUCAAUCGUAGUUUUGUGUUAGGUUAGCUAUUAAAUAGCUGCUUAAGUGGUUUGUGUGAGGUAAUGUUAGGUUUAGGUAAUAAAUUGAUUUAUAGUUGGACUGAAAUGAAUGGUGUUCUGUGUAGAAGGAGGUUGUGUGAUGAAUGCUUUUAGAUAUAUGUCUACUCGGUUAUGGUUGGUUGUGAUCAAUGCGUUGAUCCUUCUCUUCCUUACAUAAACCGCGUCUUUGAUCUCCUACUUUCUCACCUCACUUCUUUUCUUUAUCUCUUCCUUGUUCAAACCGUGUCUCUUCUCUUCCUACUUUCUCACCCUACUUCUUUUCUUUAUCUUUUCCUUGUUCAAACUGUGUGCUUCUCUUCCCUAGUUCAGUUCUUUUUUUCUCUCUUCCUUAAGCUUACUUCGGAUAUGGAUUCUUAUCCAUCUACCCAGAGUUCAAAAUUUGUUGAACUACUUCACAGACAACAAAGCAUUUCGUUCGGUAACUAUGAAAAUAGUGUCUCACUAUCUUCAUCACAACCUCUGUUUCAACGCACGCUAGGAACCGGAGAUGGAUUAUGUCUACCUAAUUUUUUUGUUUAAUGUGAGAGAGUGAACCAUUGGGAGCACCCGUGAGAGAGAGGUGGUCAUCAAUCACAAGCAGCGACAACAGUUUUGUAUCCUUGUGUCACACGACAGUGAGAGAGUGUGUGUGUUUGGGUCUGUGUGUUCUUGGGUCAGUGCUGUUAGAGUGGAGCAUUGGGUCAGUGUUGUUUGUAUUUGUAUGUGUCUGUUGUAUUCUUGUGUCACGAGAAUGUGUUGUGUCUGUGUGUUCAUGUGUCUAUUGUUUGUAUUUGUAUGUGUCACGGGAAUGUAUGUGUGUUUAGAGUGGAGCAUUGGGACAAUGAAUGUGUGUGUGGGCUCUUGUAUGUAUGUGUCACGAGAAUGUUUGCCGAACUCUUUCACACUUUAUAAAUCUGAUACAACAAUACUUUCUCUAUCUCACAACAUUUCACACUUCUCACCAUUCUCUUUCUCCAUAACAAUUCAUACGUCUAAUACAACAAAACUUUCUCCAUCUCACAACAUUUCACACUUCAAACCAUCCUCUUUCUCUAUUAUUCUCCUCAUCGAAAGCAAUUCAUACGUCUCUCCACAAUAUAUAAUCUGAAACAAGAAUCUGAAACAAACCUCUUAUGGCGUCAUCUUCUCACAACACUUUCGAAGGUAAUAUUGAUGAAACUUUCGAUCAAUAUUUUGAUCAAACUUUCGAUCAAACAUUUGAAAAUUUGUGCAAUGUUGAUGGUGAUCAAGAAGAUGAAAGGAAGACAAGGAAAAAAGGGUUUUUACCGAAAUAAAUCGUGAAGAUGGCCAUCUCCGGUUAUGGAAUGAUUAUUUCAGUGAUGUUGCAACAUAUCCCAAAAAUCUAUUCCGACGACGAUUUAGAAUGAACAAGGCAUUGUUCAUGCAUAUUGUUGAUCGCCUUUCCAAUGAAGUUCUGUUCUUUCGUCAAAAGAAGGACGGUAUCAGAAGGCUUGGUCUCUCUACACUUCAAAAGUGUACAGCAGCUAUAUGUGUGUUGGCAUAUGGUUAUGCGCUUGAUGCUGUCGGCGAAUACCUCAGGCUCGGUGCAACCACUGCUCGGUUAUGUGUGGAAAAUUUUGUGGAAGAAAUCAUAAAUUUGUUCGGCGAUGAGCACCUAAGAAGACCAACACCGGCUGAUAUUCAACGUCUACUUCAUAUUGGAGAGCUUCGUGGAUUUCCCGGGAUGAUAUGAAGCAUCAAUUGUAUGCAUUUGGAGUGGAAGAAUCGUUUUAGAGGCGGUUGCUUCAUAUGAUCUCUGGAUAUAGCAUGCGUUUUUCGGACGUCCAGGUGAAUUUCUCGGUCAACGGAAGAGAGUAUAAUUUGGCCUACUAUCUCACCGAUGGUAUUUAUCCGAAAUGGGCAACUUUUAUCAAAUCUAUUCCAAUUCCACAAGAAGCUGUCCGAAAAGAUGGGGAGCGUGCUUUCAGAGUCUUGUAAGCUCGAUUUACCAUUGUUAAAAAUCCAGCAUUUUCUUAGGAUAAAGUCAUGAUUGGGAAGAUUAUGAGAGCAUGUAUCAUACUCCAUAAUAUGAUUGUAGAAGAGAACGAGAUGAAUGCACUCAAUAUGAUGUUUCGGAUUUUCAACAAGGAGAAGGCAGCAGAAGUUCACAUGUCGAUCUCACCUAUUCGACAUAUAUCCCUACAAAUAUUGCCAAUCAAAUGGUGUUUGAACAAGAAUUCGUGAUAGACAAGCACAUCAACAACUGAAAGGUGAUUUGGUUGAACAUAUAUGGCGUAAAUUUGGACGUGAUGAAGACAACAACUGAACUUCGAUGCCUCUUUGAAAUUAUUAUCGUUUGACUUUAUUUUAUUUAAUAAGUAAAUUU